GAUGAACGCUGGCGGCGUGCCUAAUACAUGCAAGUCGAGCGAACAGACGAGGAGCUUGCUCCUCUGACGUUAGCGGCGGACGGGUGAGUAACACGUGGAUAACCUACCUAUAAGACUGGGAUAACUUCGGGAAACCGGAGCUAAUACCGGAUAAUAUAUUGAACCGCAUGGUUCAAUAGUGAAAGACGGUUUUGCUGUCACUUAUAGAUGGAUCCGCGCCGCAUUAGCUAGUUGGUAAGGUAACGGCUUACCAAGGCAACGAUGCGUAGCCGACCUGAGAGGGUGAUCGGCCACACUGGAACUGAGACACGGUCCAGACUCCUACGGGAGGCAGCAGUAGGGAAUCUUCCGCAAUGGGCGAAAGCCUGACGGAGCAACGCCGCGUGAGUGAUGAAAAUCUUCGGAUCGUAAAACUCUGUUAUUAGGGAAGAACAAAUGUGUAAGUAACUAUGCACGUCUUGACGGUACCUAAUCAGAAAGCCACGGCUAACUACGUG
rnacentral:rRNA from 1 species